rnacentral:lncRNA from 1 species
GCUGAUGGGUCAUAACAGUCAUGUCAUGGACUCAUGGCCUGGGUGAAUUUAUUUUUUCGAAUUUUUUUUAUUAUUUUUCAAAGAAAAGGUUAAACAAAUUAAAAAUAUAUUUUUUUUUAUCAAAAUGACUAUAAUGUCCUCACUAACAUUCAAAAAUUUAAAUAUUAGAGAGGACAUUUUGGUCAAAAAGUAAAAAAUAUUUAUAUAUAUUUUUUUAAUUUUUUUAUAUCUAUAAAUACUCCUACAAACAUUCAAAUUCCUCACAACAAACAACUCUUCAUUCAUUCUAUUCUACAAACACAAAUUCUUCCUACUCUUAAACUUUCAAUUUAAAUUCUUUUCUUUCUCAACUCUUAAGUUUACUUAGCAAAUAUUUUAAAUAUUUUUUAAUAAAUUUUUUUUAUACAAAGUCUCUUCACAAUUUCACCAUACAAAAUUUUAAUUUCAACACUAUAAUUAAUCUCUUAUUGUUUUAGUUUUUAAUUUUUAAAAUAUUUUUAUUUAAUUUUUUUUGGUAUUAUUGUAUUUAUUUUUUAUAAUAAUGUCGGGUGAAUUUUCUCACAUAGAUUU